rnacentral:rRNA from 1 species
GAGGAAAAGAAACCAACCGGGAUUACCUUAGUAACGGCGAGUGAAGCGGUAAAAGCUCAAAUUUGAAAUCCUUUUGGAGUUGUAAUUUGAAGGUUGGACGGAUUUUGUCGCCCGAUUUCAAGUCCAUUGGAAAAUGGCGCCAAGGUGGGUGAUAGCCCCGUAGAAAUCUCCGGCUUCAAAUAUACUCUGUCCUUCCAAAGAGUCGAGUUGUUUGGGAAUGCAGCUCAAAGUGGGUGGUAAAUUCCAUCUAAAGCUAAAUAUUGGCGAGAGACCGAUAGCGAACAAGUACAGUGAUGGAAAGAUGAAAAGCACUUUGAAAAGAGAGUGAAAAAGUACGUGAAAUUGUUGAAAGGGAAGGGCUUGCAAGCAGACACAAUCUUUUUGAUUGGGCCAGCAUCGGUUGAGAGGGGAGGAAAAGGGGCGGGAAAUGUGGCCAUUCUCUUUGGAGAGUGGUGUUAUAGUCCAGUCUUAUACUCCCACACUCGACCGAGGCCUGCGGAUUCAUCCUAGGAUGCUGGCGUAAUGGUUGCAAGUCGCCCGUCUUGAA